rnacentral:rRNA from 1 species
UACGAAGGGUGCAAGCGUUACUCGGAAUUACUGGGCGUAAAGCGUGCGUAGGUGGUUUGUUAAGUCUGUUGUGAAAGCCCCGGGCUCAACCUGGGAAUGGCAAUGGAUACUGGCAGGCUAGAGUGCGGUAGAGGGUAGUGGAAUUCCCGGUGUAGCGGUGAAAUACGUAGAGAUUGGGAAGAACACCAGUGGCGAAGGCGGCUAUCUGGACGGUUUCUGACGCUAAGACGCGAAAGCGUGGGGAGCAAACAGG